UGGAGCCGCGUGUCGCAGAGCUGAAGC
rnacentral:piRNA from 1 species